UACGAAGGGGGCUAGCGUUGUUCGGAAUUACUGGGCGUAAAGCGCGCGCAGGCGGUCUUCCAAGUCAGUGGUGAAAGCCCGGAGCUCAACUCCGGAACUGCCAUUGAAACUGUUAGACUUGAGGAUGAGAGAGGUGAGUGGAAAUUCCCAGUGUAGAGGUGAAAUUCGUAGAUAUUGGGAAGAACACCGGUGGCGAAGGCGGCGACCUGGUCCGAUACUGACGCUGAGGCGCGAAGCGUGGGAGCAAACA
rnacentral:rRNA from 1 species